rnacentral:rRNA from 1 species
AUUGAACGCUGGCGGCAGGCCUAACACAUGCAAGUCGAACGAGUGGCGGACGGGUGAGUAAUGUCUGGGAAACUGCCCGAUGGAGGGGGAUAACUACUGGAAACGGUAGCUAAUACCGCAUACCAUCGGAUGUGCCCAGCUGGGAUUAGCUAGUAGGUGGGGUAAUGGCUCACCUAGGCGACGAUCCCUAGCUGGUCUGAGAGGAGGACCAGCCCCAUGGGAACUGAGAAACGGCCCAGACGCCUACGGGAGGCAGCAGUGGGGAAUAUUGCACAAUGGGCGCAAGCCUGAUGCAGCCAUGCCGCGUGUAUGAAGAAGGCCUUCGGGUGGUAAAGUACUUUCAGCGGGGAGGCGUUACCCGCAGAAGAAGCAACGGCUAACUCCGUGCCAGCAGCCGCGGUAAUAC